rnacentral:rRNA from 1 species
GUACACUCCCGGGAGGCAGCAGUGGGGAAUAUUGGACAAUGGGCGCAAGCCUGAUCCAGCCAUGCCGCGUGAGUGAUGAAGGCCCUAGGGUUGUAAAGCUCUUUCACCGGUGAAGAUAAUGACGGUAACCGGAGAAGAAGCCCCGGCUAACUUCGUGCCAGCAGCCGCGGUAAUACGAAGGGGGCUAGCGUUGUUCGGAUUUACUGGGCGUAAAGCGCACGUAGGCGGACUAUUAAGUCAGGGGUGAAAUCCCGGGGCUCAACCCCGGAACUGCCUUUGAUACUGGUAGUCUUGAGUUCGAGAGAGGUGAGUGGAAUUCCGAGUGUAGAGGUGAAAUUCGUAGAUAUUCGGAGGAACACCAGUGGCGAAGGCGGCUCACUGGCUCGAUACUGACGCUGAGGUGCGAAAGCGUGGGGAGCAAACAGGAUUAGAUACCCGUGUAGUCCCAUG